AGAACGAACGCUGGCGGCGUGCCUAACACAUGCAAGUCGUACGAGAAAUCCUGGGCAACUGGGAGAGUAAAGUGGCGCACGGGUGAGUAACGCGUGGGUAACCUACCCUUGAAUUGGGGAUAACUCUUCGAAAGGGGAGUUAAUACCGAAUAAUAUUCCAAUUUCUUCGGGGGUUGGAAUCAAAGGUGGCCUCUGCAUGCAAGCUAUCGUUUAAGGAUUGGCCCGCGUACCAUUAGCUAGUUGGUAGGGUAAUGGCCUACCAAGGCAACGAUGGUUAGCUGGUCUGAGAGGAUGGCCAGCCACACUGGAACUGAGAUACGGUCCAGACUCCUACGGGAGGCAGCAGUGGGGAAUCUUGCGCAAUGGGGGAAACCCUGACGCAGCAACGCCGCGUGGGUGAUGAAGGCCUUCGGGUCGUAAAGCCCUGUCAGGUGGGAAGAAACUUGUGGAUGUUAAUACCAUCCACAAUUGACGGUACUACCGGAGGAAGCACCGGCUAACUCCGUGCCAGCAGCCGCGGUAAUACGGAGGGUGCAAGCGUUGUUCGGAAUUAUUGGGCGUAAGGCGCGUGUAGGUGGUCAGGUAAGUCAGAUGUGAAAGCCUUCUGCUUAACAGAAGAAGUGCAUUUGAAACUGCUUGGCUAGAGUACGGGAGAGGAGAGUGGA
rnacentral:rRNA from 1 species